CCCCUCGUAGCUCAACUGGACAGAGCAACAGGUUUCUACCCUGCAGGUUGGAGGUUCGAGUCCUCCCGAGGGGU
rnacentral:tRNA from 1 species